rnacentral:lncRNA from 1 species
ACAUACUUCAAGUAGUAGUCGUUGUAAACAUUAAAAUUAAAUAAAAAAAAUAAAGAAAAUGGAUUGGAUCAAUUUAAGUCAUCAGCCCCAUUAAAUUGAAGUCUAUUAAAGUCCAUAAAAUUCAAAGGCUCAUCCUAAUAAAUAAAUAAAUAUAUCAUAAUUAAUCAAUUAUUCAUUUUAAUUAAAUAUACCAAAAUUUGCAUGAUUUUUCUUCUAUAAAUAGGACCAAUGACCUAUGAGUGAAAAAGGGGAGUAGAAAAGCAAGCAAGAAAAAGCGAAAGUAGAGAAGGCAUAGCUUUCGUUUUUC